AGUGAACGCUGGCGGUAGGCCUAACACAUGCAAGUCGAACGGCAGCACAGUAGGAACUUGGUCUUACGGGUGGCGAGUGGCGAACGGGUGGGGAAUACCUCGGUAUUUACUUUGUAUUGGGGGAUAACGCUGGGAAACUUACGCUAAUCCCGCAUCCGACGUACGGGUGAAAGCAGGAGACCUUCGGAACAUGCGCGAUUGAAUGACCGGAUGUCGGAUUAGCUAGUUGGCGGGGUAAAGGCCCACCAAGGCGACGAUCCGUAGCUGGUCUGAGAGGAUGAUCAGCCACACUGUGACUGAGACACGGCCCAGACUCCUACGGGAGGCAGCAGUGGGGAAUAUUGGACAAUGGGCGCAAGCCUGAUCCAGCCAUACCGCGUGUGUGAAGAAGGCCUUCGGGUUGUAAAGCCCUUUUGUUCGGAAAGAAAUCCAUCAAGUUAAUACCCCGCUGUUCUGACGGUACCCAAAGAAUAAGCACCGGCUAACUUCGUG
rnacentral:rRNA from 1 species